rnacentral:misc_RNA from 1 species
AAGUCGUAACAAGGUUUCCGUAGGUGAACCUGCGGAAGGAUCAUUACCACGUUCCAAACGUAUCAACCAAAGCGAAUCAAUUUUCGAUUUCUCCCACCACAGGGAAUGAGCUGAAUCGCAUGAGUGCGAGUGCGGGAUCUUUUAUUGAUCAGCGAUUGCGUAAACAACUUAUAGUUCGAAAGGACUAUAGACAGCUGUAUCUCUGUGGAUGGCUUUUCUCCUACCAUUGGUUUCCGACACCGAUCGAGGGUAGGGGAGCAUACAAACUAUAUUCACCGCUUUUGCUAGUUGACUUGAAUAUGUUACUUUCGCUUCGGCGUGAGUACACGUUUUUAAUUAAACGAAAAUACAACUCUUAGCAAUGGAUAUCUAGGUUCUC